rnacentral:rRNA from 1 species
GAGGAUUAUACCCUGGUAGUCCACGCCGUAAACGAUGUCUACUAGUUGUCGGUUGUCUUGUACGACGGGUAACGCAGCUAACGCGAUAAGUAGACCGCCUGGGGAGUACGGCCGCAAGGUUAAAACUCAAAUGAAUUGACGGGGGCCCGCACAAGCGGUGGAGCAUGUGGUUUAAUUCGAAGCAACGCGAAGAACCUUACCUGGCCUUGACAUCCUGCGAACUUUCUAGAGAUAGAUUGGUGCCUUCGGGAACGCAGAGACAGGUGCUGCAUGGCUGUCGUCAGCUCGUGCCG